rnacentral:rRNA from 1 species
AUUGAACGCUGGCGGCAUGCCUUACACAUGCAAGUCGAACGGCAGCACGGGAGCAAUCCUGGUGGCGAGUGGCGAACGGGUGAGUAAUAUAUCGGAACGUGCCCAGUCGUGGGGGAUAACGCAGCGAAAGCUGUGCUAAUACCGCAUACGAUCUAAGGAUGAAAGCGGGGGAUCGCAAGACCUCGCGCGAUUGGAGCGGACGAUAUCAGAUUAGCUAGUUGGUGGGGUAAAGGCCCACCAAGGCGACGAUCAGUAGCUGGUCUGAGAGGACGACCAGCCACACUGGAACUGAGACACGGUCCAGACUCCUACGGGAGGCAGCAGUGGGGAAUUUUGGACAAUGGGCGCAAGCCUGAUCCAGCAAUGCCGCGUGCAGGAUGAAGGCCUUCGGGUUGUAAGCUGCUUUUGUACGGAACGAAACGGCCCUUUCUAAUACAGGGGGCUAAUGACGGUACCGUAAGAAUAAGCACCGGCUAACUACGUGCCAGCAGCCGCAGUAA